UGGCCUUGACAUCCUAAGAAUUCUAUAGAGAUAUGGAAGUGCUUGCUUGCAAGAACUUAGUGACAGGUGCUGCACGGCUGUCGUCAGCUCGUGUCGUGAGAUGUUGGGUUAAGUCCCGCAACGAGCGCAACCCUCGUCCUUAGUUGCUAACAGUUUGGCUGAGCACUCUAAGGAGACUGCCUUCGCAAGGAGGAGGAAGGUGAGGACGACGUCAAGUCAUCAUGGCCCUUACGGCCAGGGCUACACACGUGCUACAAUGGGUAGGACAAUAAGAAGCAAUACCGCAAGGUGGAGCAAAACUCAAAACCUACUCUCAGUUCGGAUUGGAGUCUGCAACUCGACUCCAUGAAGCUGGAAUCGCUAGUAAUCGUAGAUCAGCAAUGCUACGGUGAAUACGUUCCCGGGUCU
rnacentral:rRNA from 1 species